UACGUAGGUGGCAAGCGUUGUCCGGAAUUAUUGGGCGUAAAGAGCUCGUAGGCGGCUUGUCGCGUCGGUUGUGAAAGCCCGGGGCUUAACCCCCGGGUCUGCAGUCGAUACGGGCAGGCUAGAGUUCGGUAGGGGAGAUCGGAAUUCCUGGUGUAGCGGUGGAAUGCGCAGAUAUCAGGAAGAACACCGGUGGCGAAGGCGGGUCUCUGGGCCGAUACUGACGCUGAGGAGCGAAAGCGUGGGGAGCGAACAGG
rnacentral:rRNA from 1 species